rnacentral:rRNA from 1 species
CUGGCGGCUGCCUAACACAUGCAAGUCGAACGAGACCUUCGGGUCUAGUGGCGCACGGGUGCGUAACGCGUGGGAAUCUGCCCUUUGCUUCGGAAUAACAGUUAGAAAUGACUGCUAAUACCGGAUGAUGUCGAAAGACCAAAGAUUUAUCGGCAAAGGAUGAGCCCGCGUAGGAUUAGGUAGUUGGUGAGGUAAAGGCUCACCAAGCCGACGAUCCUUAGCUGGUCUGAGAGGAUGAUCAGCCACACUGGGACUGAGACACGGCCCAGACUCCUACGGGAGGCAGCAGUGGGGAAUAUUGGACAAUGGGCGAAAGCCUGAUCCAGCAAUGCCGCGUGAGUGAUGAAGGCCUUAGGGUUGUAAAGCUCUUUUACCAGGGAUGAUAAUGACAGUACCUGGAGAAUAAGCUCCGGCUAACUCCGUGCCAGCAGCCGCGGUAAUACGGAGGGAGCUAGCGUUGUUCGGAAUUACUGGGCGUAAAGCGCACGUAGGCGGCUACUCAAGUCAGAGGUGAAAGCCCAGGGCUCAACCCUGGAACUGCCUUUGAAACUAGGUAGCUAGAAUCUUGGAGAGGUCAGUGGAAUUCCGAGUGUAGAGGUGAAAUUCGUAG